UGACGCUGGAGGUACUUGUUUGGUUAGAGCUGAGUCUAAAGUCUAUAACUUGCAACUCAGACCCAUCUCUGACAUUUCCUGCAUCAGCCUAGAAUUCAGGAACACAAACCAGCUAAGAAGUUAAUUUAUAACAGGUGCUUAAAAUAGGGCCCCCAUCCCUCCUAAACACACAAGAAGAGUUAGCUAUUAUUGUCAUCACAGUAGGCUUUUUUUUUUGCCUCUAUGCUUUGCUCUACUGGACAAAUUUUCCCUCCCAUCUCCUUUCAGUUGCACAGAGAAAAUUGCUCUGUAUUUAUUGUCAAGCAUAAUAUGCAAAAACAACUUUACAGGGUUUUAUGAUGUUGCCUUCUCUGACUCUCCAACCCAAAAUUGAAUUAUAAUGGAAUUUAUAGAAUAAACCUGAAAUGCCUUCAGUGUUCAUAAUUUCUAAAACAUCGGAGUCCAGAGUGUGAAGUAGCAUUUGUUAAAACAAGUCUAUUUUCUUGCUCUGUCACUUUUCUACUUAUCUUUCACGCAGUAACACACAGAGUUGUACAAAGCAUACAUUUUUAUCUAGUUACACCAUCUAACUUUGUUUCUUUGAGAGAAUGAAUGUACAAAACAUCUAUCAAUAAGAGAAAAACUCCAACUUGCUUUGUCCAGCAACACCGCAUUUUAAGCGGGGAAUCCCAGUGAAGUUCAUAUUCUUCUGGGCCUCGGACCCUCCACAGACCUGCCGUUGCAAGUAUCAUGAUGAUGGUCAGACUCUCCUGGGAUCUUGUGAAAAAGGAGUCUGAUUCUGCGUGGCUGGAAUGGAGGCUGAACCCCCAAACCCCCAGGUGGUACCCAUGCUCCUGGCCCGUGGACCACACUUGGGGUAGGUAGCAGGAGACACGCACAUGCUCAUGGGACCAAGGUCUUCCCAGAGCUCGUGAUGAUAAGGUAGCUGACGCAGCCCAUGUCAAUUGCGAUGGCUACUAUGAGAAGUGAAAACAGAAAAUAAGGACGUGAAGAAAAAGAAAUGAAUCCCGGCGCAUUGUUGGUGGGAACAUACAAUGGGACAGCCAUAUGAAAAAUAGUGUGGCCGCUCCUCAAACACUUAAAAAAUAGAGGUACCAUAUACUCUAGCAGUUUCACUUCUUGGUAUAUAUCCCAAAGGACCAAAAACAGAUAUUUGAAUACCUAUGUUCAUAGCAGCGUUUCAAUAGUCAAAAGAUGGAAGCAACCCAGAUGUCCAUGGACGGGUGGACAGAUAAGCAAAACGUGGUGUAAGCAUAUGUGAGAUAACAGAAAAUGUAUAUCUUUGCCCCGGGAUCCUAGAACAGAGCUCCUACAACCCCUGCCAUUUCCUAAGUGAUAAGGGCACCAGAAGCAUCUUUUGUUUCAGUGCUUGGUCUUUGACUCCAGUUCCUGACACAGGGUACCUAAAUCCCUUGGAAUUUUCUGGGUAGCAUGAGUGUCUUUUGUUCUAAUGAGGUCAGGGUCAAAGGGAAAUGAGGCAGGUUUCCUCUGAGACAACAGCCAGCAGCGCGUGGUGUCAGGGGUCCUUCCGGGAGAGCUGGGCAGUACUGCUUCAUCUCGCUAUGUCUCUUACUAAAUGGAGAGUGAUAUGUAAUCAUCAAUCCACCUUCUUCCUGGAUUAACGUGGGAUGUGCUGAGCAAGGCCAAUGCAUCAUAUCCAUCCCCUUGGCAAAGAGUGAGCCAGUAAAGUAUAAAUAGAGCAAGGAGUGAGGUAUCCUUCAAACUUGUGCCAGGAAAGCUGGAUGAGGAGAGUGACUGGGACCCGAGACUAACGUUGGCUUCCUUACCUGUACCGCCGGAGAGGGACAGACAGAAGUAGUUUCAUCACCAGUGAUUUCCCAACAGGGAGACAGUGUCUGUGGGGGUUUCCAUUUGGGGGCCUUGCAUGCGUGAAAAGAAGGAGGAAAUGACUCCUGCCCCGCCAAUCCUGCCAUUUCUCAAUUCUUAAGAAUUGAGUUAAUGCUAAAUGUAUAGCCACCCCUCUUUCUUUGGCUUGCGUCAUCGUUUUCAUGUCUGAGUCGAACAUGGGAGCCUCCUUAUCCUUUAAGAUUGCUUUGAAUUGCUUAACUCCACACCUGCUGCAGUCCAAAGCCCUCCCCAGGACCCCCGGAUUUCUAUGGACCCCCGGGGAGCCUACCUUCAAUUGGCCUCCAGUGGCUCUGGGUGAACACCUUCUCUCCUCUGGUGUUGACCAUGUACCAUGAUGGUCCAGACAGGAAGUUUACCUCUUCCACCAAUUACUGCAAACAAUGUUCACUCAAAUGACACAUGAGAUCCUGAAGACCUGUGGAUCUGCCAGGGCUCACACUGCCUGCAGAACAGCAAACAAACUUCAAGUCCCCAAGGGGCACAGUUUAAUCUCCAAUAUCUGUUUUGAAACGCUUCUCAGGGCUGAGCCUCCCUCCCCUGGCUGUUUUCUUGGCCCUUUUGUCCCUGCAGCAUCCAGGUUCUUCUGGUCUUGCUGGUUCCUCCCAUCUCCCUCCCAGAGCGCCCUGGGAACUAUCAAAUUGUUCCCUAAUAUACAGAGCAGGCCAGAGCUCCCCAUUUUUUACUUCUAAUCUGCCGAGUCCAAUAUAAUGGUGCUCCCUUACUACAAAACAUUCUCUUUUGAAGGCAUUCAGCGCAAAGAAUGUGAACAAUUUUUUC